AGACGGAGGGUGCGAACGUUGUUCGGAAUCACUGGGCAUAAAGCGCACGUAGGCGGUCCACUAAGUCGAAUGUGAAAGCCCCCGGCUCAACCGGGGAACUGCAUCCGAUACUGGUGGACUUGAGGACGGUUGGGGUGAGUGGAACUCCUGGUGGAGCGGUGAAAUGCGUAGAUAUCAGGAGGAACACCAGUGGCGAAAGCGGAUCACUGGACCGUAUCUGACGCUGAGGUGCGAAAGCUAGGGUAGCGAACGGGAUUAGAAACCCCAGUAGUCC
rnacentral:rRNA from 1 species